rnacentral:lncRNA from 1 species
CCGAAUCAUGAUUCAAGUCAAAAAUCAACAUUAUGCACGCGGAUGGGUCAAAAAUAAAAUAGUUGAAAUUUUUGAUGGGUCUUACAUUAAACUCUCCCCCCUUUAGGAUCAUUAACCCUAGAAUGAGAAGUUAGCAAAUAUUUAGUGCGAUAAUAGCGUUAGAAUCAAAUGACGAAUUCAAAAUUCAAUAAGAGGGCAACUGAAAAAUCAUACGUUACAGAUUUUCAUCUAGUGUUAGGAACGAGAACG